CCGGUUGAUCCUGCCGGACCUGACUGCUAUCGGAUUGAUACUAAGCCAUGCGAGUCAUUGUAGCAAUACAAGGCAGACGGCUCAGUAACGCGUAGUCAAUCUACCCUAUGGGCGGGGAUAACCUCGGGAAACUGAGAAUAAUACCCGACAGAACAUUAUGCCUGGAAUGGUUUAUGUUUUAAAUGAUUUAUCGCCGUAGGAUGGGACUGCGGCCUAUCAGUUUGUUGGUGAGGUAAUGGCCCACCAAGACUAUUACAGGUACGGGCUCUGAGAGGAGUGGCCCGAAGAUGGGUACUGAGACACGGACCCAGGCCUUAUGGGGCGCAGCAGGCGAGAAAACUUUGCAAUGUGCGAAAGCACGACAAGGUUAAUCCGAGUGGUUUCUGCUAAAGAAACCUUUUGUUAGUCCUAGAAACACUGAUGAAUAAGGGGUGGGCAAGUUCUGGUGUCAGCCGCCGCGGUAAAACCAGCACCUCAAGUGGUCAGGAUGAUUAUUGGGCCUAAAGCAUCCGUAGCUUGCUUUGUAAGUUCUCGGUUAAAUCCAUGCGCUUAACGUAUGGGCUGCCGGUAAUACUGCAAAGCUAGGGAGUGGGAGAGGUAGACGGUACUCGGUAGGAAGGGGUAAAAUCCUUUGAUCUAUUGAUGACCACCUGUGGCGAAGGCGGUCUACCAGAACACGUCCGACGGCGAGGGAUGAAAGCUGGGGGAGCAAACCGGAUUAGAUACCCGGGUAGUCCCAGCUGUAAACUAUGCAAACUCAGUGAUGCAUUGGCUUGUGGCCAAUGCAGUGCUGCAGGGAAGCCGUUAAGUUUGCCGCCUGGGAAGUACGUACGCAAGUAUGAAACUUAAAGGAAUUGGCGGGA
rnacentral:rRNA from 1 species